rnacentral:lncRNA from 1 species
GGCAGGCAUCCCGAACCUUGGCAGUGGAAGAAGUUGGCAAUGAUUGCCACUUGGCCUACUGCUACUGAAGUCUGAUACUCCUAAGCUAAUGGCUGUUUCUUCAAAUUGUGUUUACCCAAGAGAAAUAAAUGUCCCCGUUUAAAGACUAGUCCACAAAUGUGCACAGUAGUAUUUGUUACAUACGAAGGCUGGAAAAAACCCAGAUGUUCAUCACAAGGUCUCUCUCGUCAGAGUUUCUGUUGACUGUGCUGUCCAUGACCAGGAAAAGUCUUGUCCUGCAUUUGCUCACUUCAGGUACCAAAACUGGGGGUCAUGCAUGCAUCAUGUUUUCUAUAGAAGGUAGGUUUCUUAACUUCCAAAAGAAAUGGAAUUCACUCUACAUCAUUAAAGUAGAUGAUAUGUUAAUUAAAGGUAAUUAAGUUAUAUGCAGAAUUGUGAGAAUGGCUAAGGAAAUAUAUUCAAAGGUAAGAUGGCAGGGA